rnacentral:rRNA from 1 species
GUCCCCGGCACCUGCCUGCGACCGCUCGUUCCUGUCAGAUCUUGGAAGCCAAGCGGGGGUGAGCCUGGUUAGUGCUAGGACGGGCGACCACCUCCAGGGCUUGCCAGGUGUUGUAGGCA